UACGUAGGCAGCAAGCGUUGUUCGGAAUUACUGGGCGUAAAGAGUGUGUAGGCGGUGCUCUAAGUUCGGCGUGAAAUCUCCCGGCUUAACUGGGAGGGUGCGCCCGAAACUGCAUUGCUUGAGUACCGGAGAGGAUGGUGGAAUUCCCGAAGUAGAGGUGAAAUUCGUAGAUAUCGGGAGGAACACCGGUGGCGAAGGCGACCAUCUGGACGGAUACUGACGCUGAGACGCGAAAGCGUGGGUAGCAAACAGG
rnacentral:rRNA from 1 species